rnacentral:rRNA from 1 species
GAUGAACGCUGGCGGCGUGCCUAAUACAUGCAAGUCGAGCGAACGGACGAGAAGCUUGCUUCUCUGAUAUUAGCGGCGGACGGGUGAGUAACACGUGGAUAACCUACCUAUAAGACUGGGAUAACUUCGGGAAACCGGAGCUAAUACCGGAUAAUAUUUUGAACCGCAUGGUUCAACAGUAAAAGACGGUCUUGCUGUCACUUAUAGAUGGAUCCGCGCUGCAUUAGCUAGUUGGUAAGGUAACGGCUUACCAAGGCAACGAUGCAUAGCCGACCUGAGAGGGUGAUCGGCCACACUGGAACUGAGACACGGUCCAGACUCCUACGGGAGGCAGCAGUAGGGAAUCUUCCGCAAUGGGCGAAAGCCUGACGGAGCAACGCCGCGUGAGUGAUGAAGGUCUUCGGAUCGUAAAACUCUGUUAUUAGGGAAGAACAUAUGUGUAAGUAACUGUGCACAUCUUGACGGUACCUAAUCAGAAAGCCACGGCUAACUACGUG